UGCUGCUGUACAUUUUGUUGCACUUCUGUUUUUACCUCUGAAAAGUAAAGUACUCUUAGUACUGUCUUUCUUCUUUCUUCUUUUGUCUGUAAUUGUUGUAUCUCUUUUCAAGCAUAUGAACAUCACAUUUGUAUUUGCAAUGCACAGUGCGUUCGCGACGGAAACCAGUAGGGGGCGGUAGAGACCACUUAGGGGAGCUAAACUGCAGCAUAUCAAUUGAGCAAGUAAAUAACUCAGUAAGUAAAUGACCUUAAUUGAGGUAAUUAACCAGGCUAUCACCAGAAACGCUUGUACAAUAGGCUAAAGUAAGCUCACAAACUUUUUGCUGCUUCUUGUUAGUGAAGUAACCAUAAUUGAUCAUAGACGCAGUAAAAUAACAGCACAGUGAUCUAUUAUAUUAAUCCCACGUAAUCCUGGUAAACCAAACCAGGAUAUGAAAUAGGAAAUGAGGCACACAUGCGGUCUUCUGGCCGAGGUUGUCGGCUUCGCAGCGGACAAUGACCAGUGUUUCCCCGGCACAAAGUGCUCUCUGUGUCCGCCGGAGCUCCCCCGCUUUAAUGGAGGUGAUUGGCCGUGUUCAGCACAGCACGUCCGCCGCCGUGUGUGUGAUUAAUCACCAUGUUAAAACGCUGGAACUGAGCGUCCCUGAGGUGGAGAGAGGGCGGCAGGCCGACAGGGACCCCGGGCAGCCAUGACGCCCCGGGUCAGCAUCCGUCGGUAGCGAAUGAAAGACUGGAGAAAAGUCACCAUCCGUCACAUCUGGUUUACAUUAAGCCAGAGAUGAGAUACAGCGACGAACAGAAGUCCGCCAUACGUUAUGGUCUCCCCGUUUAAUGUCUGACAGCCAUGCAUGAUGGCUCCCGCUGCUGGAGUGUCUGAGGCUUUGACGGCGGCUCUGUGUCGUGUGGCGUUGGCGUCCGCGCUCUGCCAGGCGGGGUGUGUGGUCAACGGGCCACUGGGAAGCUGCAGGGGAGUGAGAGGGCUGCGGGUCAAGACAGAAGCCCCCUUUUGGUUCAGCCUCUUUGAUGGUCUCCGCACGUCCUGUGCAGGGUCCUCUGAGGGAGGAGUUGAGGAUGAGGCUUUCUGCAAGUCACAAAGGCUCUUGGAGUCGUUGCGGCAAGGCUGCCCAGGAGCCGGGCUGAUUCACCGCUCGCUCUAUCACUGCACACAAGGCAUCGAUCUUCAUUAUCACCACCACCUGACAAAGGGAGGAAUGCGCAGCUGCAUUGCUAACGGAUGUAGCGUACAUUACGACCGCACAUGCACUCGCCAUGUGUUCCAAGAUACCAGCGACGGCAGCCGAGCACACGCGGCAAACUCCUGGAUCCCACAUCUCGUCCUCCGUAACACCGCAGCGCCAUAGGAGCUUGACUGACAGGCCGUCUGUUUGUUUUCCUCUUCAAGACGAAGUCCAUUUCCUGUGCUCCCUUUGUUUUAGAACUUAGAUUAAAAAAAAGAUCUCCCUUUUAAACGCUGUGUUUACAUUGUGUGAGCGCUUUGAGGGAAAGCACAAAGCCGCCACACAGUGGGUGGAUUAUAAACUUGGACUGAGUUUCAAACAGACUGAAUUUAUAAACACAGAAUUCCCCCACACUCAACUCACGGGUCCCAGCCUGCUAGCAUAUUACUGUGGAUCAAACACAGACGAGGCCUGUCCUUGCACUUUGAUGCAUUUUUCUGUGUGUGUGUCUGUGCUUGCUUUGUUUUUGCACCUACUUGUGUGCCUUUCUUUAGUGAGUUUUCACACUUCCAAAGUAGUCUAACAGGUUGUUAUUCCUUUGAGUUCGACCUGGUGUUAUCUGUCACAACAGCCGUCACUGCUGGCAUGAUGGCAUCCUCACCAGCACCUUGGUGGGGUGAUCUCUGGUUGCCAUGUUGUACUGAGGCACGCGAGGGGGGACGACCCGGGAUCUCCAUGUCCUAUCGAAGGACUACAAGUGCCUGAAUACCCAUUAUGUGCCAGCUGUUCAGAAUGAGGAGUAAUUGCACUGUUGGCAAGGAUCCACGUGGGCCCCAGCGCUGUGGCUUCCCCCAACCCUGGGCAUGCUGCCAAGCCCUCCCGCAUACUGCCUCCCUGACCCAUCUAACACCACCUAACAGCACCCCACCCCAUACCCCGGCGCACCCCUACGCCCCAGCGCCCGACCCACAUCAUCCCCCAAACUCUUCCAGCCAUUACCACCAGCCCUCUGUUUCACAUUCCUAGGGGGGGCACUGGUUAAAUCUAAUCCCAUAAUAAGACACUCAGCUGUCCAGGAAAGAAAGAGAACUUUCCUCUGGUACACUCUAGACUUCCUUUUUUCUUUCUCCCCUCCCUUCUUUUCACCCCAAGUGGAGGCAAGAUGACACUUUGGGCCCCUUUGGCCAGUUGCCUUUGUCUUUCUUCGGGCUUGAUUUAUCCUUUCUU